AGCCCUGCCUCUUCCUGGCAG
rnacentral:miRNA from 1 species